AACAGCUCGACGUGGAUAACUGGCUUGACAGCUCCCAGGAAAUGAGGUUUUCUGUUUUCCUCUGCCUUUGUUGAUUCACGAGCGCACACAUGCCUCCAGAGAAGGACGAGUAAAAGUGCAGCAAGCAGUCUGCUUUAGAAGUGCUCUCUAUGCCUACAGAUGCAUAGAAUAAGUCAGCAGAUGACUUCUAAGAAAGACAAACACCAGGCAACCACAUUCACAACAGAAUAAAUCUUUUCAUUUUUAUUUUGUGCCUACUUCUGAGCUAGCAGAGCAAGCAUUGCUCAGAACCUGCAUUUUAAGCAAAAGCCUAUGAACGUGACUUUAACAAGACCUCUCUGGAUUUUGAGAUACAUUUGUUACGAUGCUUAAGAAAUAUCCUGGUGAGCAUUUUGGGAAAGGAACUAAUUGGCACACUAAAGCCGAGGCAAGCCAGGAAGAGUCUGAAGCCAGCUACAAGCCUGCGGUGAUGAUAAACAGCUCAGGGUCCAGGUGUCCAUAUAUGGCCAGACUUCCUAUAAGACUGACAGUACUGUAUGUGCAUUGCGUAUGGUUCUUGGAUCCCGUUCACAUUCCUCGGAGCCAAUCUCAUUUCUUUUAAUGGAGAACUUCAAGUAGACGGAAUGACAUCCAAAUGACUUAAGCAGCCAAAGUACAGGGUUGGCAGAAUAUAAAGACAGUUUUACGGUACAAUAUAUCCUACUGGGGCUUUACAUGAAAAUGUAUCUUUCUCCCUCAAGAAUCCUGUGAAUACAUAUUGCAGUGUCACGCGUGGAUAUGAGCACACGUGUACAGAGGGAUGGAAAGAGGGAGGGAUAUGGCGGCGGCAGAACAACUACACGCAGAAGAUGCUGUCUUUUAAGAUACCCACCAGAUUCCAAUUUGCCUAACAAGAUGCGUGAAGGCAAUCUCUCUCAUUAAACGCUAACAUACUUCUGUGGGUCAAGAGUCAAAAUGCAGGCAUUCCUCGUGCCAAAGCGGAGGUCAAACAACAUGACAUCACUGAAUAUUCACAUGGUACGCGGGGAGUGGGGGGAAGAACCAUCCUUCUAGCCUCAGAAAAAAAAAUAAUAAAAUAAAAGAAAAUGCAAAGCCUGAGAGUUAUCUGCAAUGGUUUAAUCCAAACCACAACACGUAGGUUUGGGGUUCGGUCAGAUCCAUGGCACGGUGCUGGGGUUUCAGCUGAGCACGGUGGCACGCCUGGUUGGCCUCCCGGGACGGUCCGACAGGGAGCCCGUGUAGCAGGGCUGUGCUAAGACUGUGUUGCUCAGGGAUGACAGCUGCACACAGGCAGCGGGAAAAUAAUAGCCACUUCUUCCAUGCUCCAGACUCGCUCCGCUGUGCCAAAUAUUUCAGAGUAAAUAGGCACUCUCUCUAUUCAUAGAGAGCAUCUAUUAGGAAAGGA
rnacentral:lncRNA from 1 species